rnacentral:lncRNA from 1 species
GACCCCGCAGCGUCGUGGCUAGAGUAGGGUCUGGAGAGAGCUCCCACUGUGGCGAGUCCUGUCGUUGGAUUCCCGCGGCGCCCCGUAAGGCUCCGCCCCGGCGGUGCUACCAAACCCUGUUCGAUUUUAGAAUCGUACAUUCCCAGAGGGAAUCCUAGACCCCUCAUUUUACAGUUGAGGAAACAGGCCCAAGUAGCAUGACUUGUUCGCGCCGCUAGUCGAAGGAGCAGCAGCCCCGAUCCCUUGACUCUGGGGCACUGCUUUCCCUUUAGCUCAUUUUUGGAGGAAAUGGGUGCGCCCUUGCUCGACCUUUGGUGAUUGCCGCCACAGGCCUUCCCGCCGGCUAACUCAGCGUGCCCAAGUCCCGUGACUUAGUGCCAGGACGGUGCUGUGACCCGUUAUCCCCUGUCGGGUUUUACCUCCCCCCGGGAGAGCUCAGCCCUGGAUCCCGGCGGGCGGCGGAGCCUCUCUGGAGCCCGGACGGGACAGCCCACCAGGGUCUGCUUCUGUGAGGGGCCGAGGCGUCAUUCCGCGAAGGCUCUUCAUUCGAUGUACAAAAACCACAAGAUUAUCUAAAUAGAUGCAGAAAAGGCCUUCGAUAAAAAUCCUCAUUCCUUCAUGUUAAAAACUCUCAAUAAACUAGGUAUUGAAGGAACAUACCUCAAAAUAAUAAGAGCCAUUUAUGACAAACUCACAGCCAGUGUCCUUACUGAAUGGGCAAAAGCUGAAAGCAUUCCCCUUGAAAACCAGCACAAGACAAGUUUGCCCUCUCUCCCAACCCCUAUUCAAUAUAGUAUUGGAAGUUAUGGCCACGGCAAUCGGGCAAGAGAAAAAAAUGAAGAGUAUUUAAAUGGGAAAAGAGGAAGUCAAACUAUCUUUUUUUGCAGGUGACAUAAUCCUAUAUCUAGAAAACCCAUUGUCUCAACCCAAAAGCUUCUUAAGCUGAUAAGCAACUUCAGCAAAGUCUCAGGAUAAAAAAUCAAAGUGCAAAAAUUGCUAUACACCAACAACAGGCAAGCCAAGAGCCAAAUCAUGAAUGAGCUUUGAUUCACAAUUGCUACAAAAAGAACAAAAUACCUAGGAAUACAGCUAACAAGGGAA